GACGAACGCUGGCGGCGUGCUUAACACAUGCAAGUCGAACGAAGUGGCGAACGGGUGAGUAACGCGUAAUAAACCUGCCCUUCAGAGGGGGACAACAGUUGGCAACGACUGCUAAUACCGCAUACUGAAGGAGGGGAUUGCGUCUGCUUGGCUAGUUGGAGGGGUAACGGCCAACCGAGGCGAUGAUAAGUAGCAGGUCUGAGAGGAGGAACGGCAACAUAGGGACUGAGACACGGCCCAGACUCCUACGGGAGGCAGCAGUGGGGAAUCUUCCGCAAUGGACGAAAGUCUGACGGAGCAACGCCGCGUGAGUGAUGACGGCCUUCGGGUUGUAAAGCUCUGUUAAUCGGGACGCGGUACCGGAAUAGAAAGCCACGGCUAACUACGUGCCAGCAGCCGCGGUAAUAC
rnacentral:rRNA from 1 species